rnacentral:rRNA from 1 species
GCAACCCUCACUUUUAGUUGCCAUCAUUAAGUUGGGCACUCUGAAAGAACUGCCAGUGAUAAGCUGGAGGAAGGUGGGGAUGACGUCAAGUCCUCAUGGCCCUUACGUGUUGGGCUACACACGUGCUACAAUGGCAUCUACAACAGGAAGUUAAAACGGCAACGUUAAGUUAAAUCCCGUAAAAGAUGCCUCAGUUCGGAUUGCACUCUGCAACUCGAGUGCAUGAAGCUGUAAUUACUAGUAAUCGUGGAUCAGCGUGCCACGGUGAAUGCGUUCCCGGGUCUU